rnacentral:rRNA from 1 species
GAUGAACGCUGGCGGCGUGCCUAAUACAUGCAAGUCGAGCGAACAGACGAGGAGCUUGCUCCUCUGACGUUAGCGGCGGACGGGUGAGUAACACGUGGAUAACCUACCUAUAAGACUGGGAUAACUUCGGGAAACCGGAGCUAAUACCGGAUAAUAUAUUGAACCGCAUGGUUCAAUAGUGAAAGACGGUUUUGCUGUCACUUAUAGAUGGAUCCGCGCCGCAUUAGCUAGUUGGUAAGGUAACGGCUUACCAAGGCAACGAUGCGUAGCCGACCUGAGAGGGUGAUCGGCCACACUGGAACUGAGACACGGUCCAGACGCCUAAGGGAGGCAGCAGUAGGGAAUCUUCCGCAAUGGGCGAAAGCGUGACGGAGCAACGCCGCGUGAGUGAUGAAGGUCUUCGGAUCGUAAAACUCUGUUAUUAGGGAAGAACAAAUGUGUAAGUAACUAUGCACGUCUUGACGGUACCUAAUCAGAAAGCCACGGCUAACUACGUG